GGUGUCAUAUGAUGAGUGGCAUAGUCUUAAACCAAUGUUUAAAGACUUAACCCCCCCCCCUCCAAUAUAUUUCAGGAUGAUGUAGAAGACGUCCCCCCCAAGAAGUCACAGCAUGUCACAUCAGCAUCCAGCUCUGCAGGAUCAGACGAUACUGAAAACAAAAUGCACGGCGAACUGGGAGCUGUGAACUGGGAAGCAGAUGUUCUUCUUAAGGACACCCGUGGUGCAAACUCCAAACAUUUAAAAGCACUGUUUCACUUCCUAGUGUAAUUGGGAUGGACGGGGAAGACCACAUUACAACCCUUAAAGAACUACGGUUGUAUGAUGGCCUGGAUGAAGAGGAAAAUAUUCUCCUCAAGGAAUCAUUCAUGUUCCAGUUACAGAGAGAUGAGAUGUUCUAUUUGACAACAAGACAAUUACUGUCUUUGCCUCUUGAGGAGCAGGAGUGAAGCCAUUGUUGAGGAGUGGUCAAACCUUGUUUUGUCUGCUGUGUUAAUUGUUUCAAUUGUUAAUUGUGUUAUUUUGACGUAGAAGUCACCCGAGUCUCUGAUCUCUUUACUGGAGCUAGUAUAACUUAAUGUACAAAGCACAUUCAGCUUGUCAGUAUGUCUAUAUGGUAUAGUCUGUCUCCAUUCUCAUGAGGAAAGUAAAUAGCAUUAUAA